rnacentral:rRNA from 1 species
UACGUAGGUGCGAGCGUUGUCCGGAAUUAUUGGGCGUAAAGGCUCGUAGCGGUUUGUCGCGAUCGGGAGUGAAACACUGGGCUUAACCGAAGUGCUUGACUUUCGAUUACGGGCAGAACUUGAGGCAUUGAGGGGAGAACGGAAUUCCUGGUGUAGCGGUGGAAAUGACGCAGAUAUCAGGAGGAACACCGGUGGCGAAGGCGGUUCUCUGGCGAAUGAUUCUGACGUGGAGGAAGCGAAAGUGUCGGGGAAGCGAACAGGA